rnacentral:rRNA from 1 species
CCUACGGGUGGCAGCAGUGAGGAAUAUUGGACAAUGGACGGAAGUCUGAACCAGCCACGCCGCGUGCAGGAAGACGGCUCUAUGAGUUGUAAACUGCUUUUGUACAAGGGAAAACUUGAAUACGUGUAUUCAGCUGAAAGUACUGUACGAAUAAGGAUCGGCUAACUCCGUGCCAGCAGCCGCGGUAAUACGGCGGAUGCAAGCGGUACCCGGAUUUAUUGGGUUUAAAGGGUGCGUUGGCGGUUUUAUAAGGUCGAGGUGAAAUGUCCGAGCUUAACCCCGGGACUGCCUCUGAGACUGUUGAUCUAGAGAGUAGGUGAGGUAGGCGGAAUGUAGGGUGUAGCGGUGAAAUGCUUAGAGAUCAUACAGAACACCGAUGGCGAAGGCAGCUUACCAAUCUUUAUCUGACGCUGAGGCACGAAAGCGUGGGGAGCAAACAGGAUUAGAUACCCCUGUAGUC